rnacentral:lncRNA from 1 species
CAAGUGCUCGAUGAAAUGUUUCAAUCAAUUCAAUGAAUACAUCAAGGCCAGAAUAGUGCUGCCAUUCGAUCACCAACACUGCAGUCAACUGCUUCCAAUUCACCAAUUAGACAGAACUUGAACAAUUCCGAUUGGAAUGCGGCAAUGGUAUUCCAAUUCAAAUCACUAGUCAUUUGAAUUGCAGAAUUUCAACGAAUCAGCUCAAACGAUGAAUUGCAAAUCGGAUUCCAGAUCAAAACAAGAAAACAACUGAAGCAACACCAAAUCAAACAAAUUGUGCUUGUGCCAAAUCAAGUAACGAAUCAGGAAAUAGAAAAAAGAUCAAAGCAAAAACAUAAAAAAAAACUACCUGAUCAGAUAAGAACAAAUGAGAGUAGGUUUGCGUCCUCGGCGAAAUGCUGUUCCCAACCGCACCGGGAAGACACCGACACCAACCACUGGACCAGUUGCUCCCCAAAAGACUGAGAAUUCCUUGUGUGCUUUGCUGUAAAUGCCGGGUCAACGAAAGCACAACAUUAAGUUGUAGGAACAGAGUGAUGGGCACUACUUAC